CCCUAAGUAACUGCGAGUGAAGCGGGAAAAGCUCAAAUUUAAAAUCUGGUGGUCUUUGGCCAUCCGAGUUGUAAUCUAGAGAAGUGUUAUCCGCGCUGGACCGUGUACAAGUCUCCUGGAAUGGAGCGUCAUAGAGGGUGAGAAUCCCGUCUUUGACACGGACUGCCAGGGCUUUGUGAUGCGCUCUCAAAGAGUCGAGUUGUUUGGGAAUGCAGCUCAAAAUGGGUGGUAAAUUCCAUCUAAAGCUAAAUAUUGGCGAGAGACCGAUAGCGAACAAGUACCGUGAGGGAAAGAUGAAAAGAACUUUGGAAAGAGAGUUAAACAGUACGUGAAAUUGCUGAAAGGGAAACGCUUGAAGUCAGUCGCGUUGGCCGGGAAUCAACCUUGCUUUUGCUGGGCGUACUUUCCGGUUGACGGGUCAGCAUCAAUUUUGACCGUUGGAUAAAGUUCAAGGGAAUGUGGCAUCUUCGGAUGUGUUAUAGCCUUUGUUCGCAUACAACGGUUGGGAUUGAGGAACUCAGCACGCCGCAAGGCCGGGUAUUUAUACUACGUUCGUGCUUAGGAUGCUGGCAUAAUGGCUUUAAUCGACCCGUCUUGAAACACGGACCAAGGAGUCUAACAUGCCUGCGAGUGUUUGGGUGGAAAACCCGAGCGCGUAAUGAAAGUGAAAGUUGAGAUCCCUGUCGUGGGGAGCAUCGACGCCCGGACCAGACCUUUUGUGACGGAUCCGCGGUAGAGCAUGUAUGUUGGGACCCGAAAGAUGGUGAACUAUGCCUGAAUAGGGUGAAGCCAGAGGAAACUCUGGUGGAGGCUCGUAGCGAUUCUGACGUGCAAAUCGAUCGUCAAAUUUGGGUAUAGGGGCGAAAGACUAAUCGAACCAUCUAGUAGCUGG
rnacentral:rRNA from 1 species